UACGAAGGGGGCUAGCGUUGUUCGGAAUUACUGGGCGUAAAGGGCUCGUAGGCGGCCAACUAAGUCGGACGUGAAAUCCCUCGGCUUAACCGGGGAACUGCAUCCGAUACUGGAGGGCUUGAGUUUGGGAGAGGGAUGCGGAAUUCCAGGUGUAGCGGUGAAAUGCGUAGAUAUCUGGAGGAACACCGGUGGCGAAGGCGGCAUCCUGGACCAACACUGACGCUGAGGAGCGAAAGCCAGGGGAGCAAACGGG
rnacentral:rRNA from 1 species